CAACAGGCCAUGCCUAGCAACCAGAGUCUCUACUUCAGCAACUACAGCAUCGAACAGGUCUGCACUCAGAAGCAUGAAGCUGCGGCCUCCAGCUUCGGCUGACUGUCUGUCUCACUGCACAGCAUCGGUUUUUGUCUGUUGCAGUCCCACAUGACUCUCCAGCUUACCAUAGCCCUGCCUGUCCUUUGGGGGCCUUUGCAGCCUGUGAUCUGGGUGUGAAGUCCAGUAAAUAAGUCACUGCCAAGAUGCCUAAAGUCUUUGACUUUUGCAUGGAGAGAAGGCUUGAUGAUGUUUAUGCUGUUGAUGGAAUGAGACUACAGACUGUACUCAGGACCAUCACAACACCAGGCACAUACAUCUGUGUGUGGCUCUGUGCAGGCCUGAUGGGUGGGACAGGCUGCUUGCCACCAAGGAGAGAGAAUAUGGAAGCCCUGGGGAGUCUGAGCAAGACAUCAGAAGUCACACAGCAACAGCCACAACCAGCGCUGUCACCUUACCAAGUUUCCCUCCCAUGGA